CAUGAAUGUAAAUAAUAAUCUAAACUUUUUUGGAUCUUAUUUUCUUCGUUUUCACUGUAUAAAUGAAAUAAAAUUAAUUGUUGAUUAUCUUUUUAUAUUUACAUAAAUGUAAAUGAAACGAUUUUUUGAAUUUAUUUAGAUUGUUUUCUUUGUUUACAUACACAGCCAAAUGUAAAAAUUCUUUUAGAACAAAGAACGUCUUCCUGUGUGUGACAAUACCUGUUGUGUAGUUGUUUUCGAGAAUUUCGAUAGUGUUUAGUUGUUUUCGCUUACAUAAACGUAGUAGUGUUAUGAAAAGGAUACAGUAUUAAAGAAACUUUCACUUGUUUUUUUGUUUAUUGGAAUAUGUGUUUUAAAUAACAGGUGAAUUUCUAAAGAUAAAUUCGCUUUUUAUAGUAAACGUACUAGAGAGAGAUACACACUUGAGGUUUACAUUGUUUUCUGGCUUGUGUCCCGUUGGCACAUGUCCACUGUGGUUUUUACCUGUUUAUAAAAUCCAGGAAUUGUGUUUUAACUUUAAUUGAUGUGUAUAUGUACAUUUUAUGUAUGUACAUAAAUGUCGUCACAUAGCUCUUCUAUAAGGUCGAUUAUGAGCUUGUUGUAUAAGAUGUACUCCGAUACGAGUUGAAUGAACAAAGACCUUGACUACUUUUCGGUAUCUACGGAUUGACAAGGUUAAAAGUUCCUGUUGUGUCGCUAAAUCUAGGUCACGGUUAUACUACUGUGACUAAAAGUGGGACAUUUCUGCUCCACUUAAUUCUCUCUUUCUCGCUCCUCGAGAUAGUUUAAAAAUCAGAUAUUUUUAAAAAAUAUAAACGUUCAAAGUUCGUUCUGGGAUCGUGCACUUUGCUAACCGCGAUAGUGUGUGUGAACUCGCGUAUAUAAACAAUAUUUUCUCGUAUAUAAAUCGAUAACUCAAGGUUGUUCCAUUUAAUAAUGGAAUUUUGCCAGAAAGUCAAGGUCUGUCCGAAUUGACAGCUGUGUGUGACAUUAAUAAAUAAACCGCCACCCACGUCACAGGUGUUGGAGCAUUAUAUAUAAUUUCUUAGAUUACUACAACUGCUACGAAAUUCGGAUCGACUGGAAAUAGCAUAAAAAUCAGUUUAUUUCUUAUAAACUUGUUUUGUCUGGGCCAUUUUUUUUCCUUUCAUUUUUUUGGUGAUAAAUCGUUUUGUUAGGUGAGUCUCCUUUCUGGCUGAAUGGAGGGAAAUUUUACGUCUGGUGACGUCACGACGGAUCGACGUCACACAUCCGGGGUUUUCGGUAUUGUAGUAGUUGCUGCGACUGUUGUCAGUUGAGUUCGGCAAAUUGCUACGGCUCUAAAAAUGUCUAGAGAAAUACACAUUCGUCAGUCCAAAUCUGAUCCGAUUUUAUUAUUGCCAUCUACUGUCUGCCACCAUCAGAGUGGACUUGAUAAUCAAAACCUGCAACAACCUUUACCACUGUCUCCUAGUUGGCACCAACAGGUAUCACACAGUUGGGAUCAAGAAUUCUAUCAUAGUUUAGAAGAUUUGAACAGACAGACUAACCUCGACACAAAUAUGCUCACCAUUGAAGGCUUGAGGAGUCACUUUAAUUCUUGUUUCAG
rnacentral:lncRNA from 1 species